rnacentral:rRNA from 1 species
UACGAAGGGGGCUAGCGUUGCUCGGAAUCACUGGGCGUAAAGCGCACGUAGGCGGAUUGUUAAGUCAGGGGUGAAAUCCUGGAGCUCAACUCCAGAACUGCCUUCGAUACUGGGAAGCUCGAGUCCGGGAGAGGUGAGUGGAACUGCGAGUGUAGAGGUGAAAUUCGUAGAUAUUGGGAAGAACACCAGUGGCGAAGGCGGCUCACUGGCCCGUAACUGACGCUGAGGUGCGAAAGCGUGGGGAGCAAACAGG